CAUUGACAGUAUUGUAUUGACACUUGUUGGUUUACAAAUACAAUAAAAUGAAUUCUAAUAAAAGAAACAGUAGACUCAGUAGAGGUACGAGGUACUGAAAAAAUAUUAAUUAAUGGAGAAGCCGAAGUUGGAGGAAAACAAGAAGAUUCGAGGAGAAUGGUGUGGCACUUAAUGCCGCCGGGACAGUAACCUAGCUGCAGCUCCAACUCUAGGGAAUUGGGCUGAAUGAACGCAACACGUGAUCGACAGCCCACCUGCUUCCUGCCGAGCGUCCCUACACUACAUCUACAUGGAUUCGCUUAUUCUGCUCUACAAAACUUCUGAGCUGAUACAAGCAGCCAGAAUGAGUCUCUGCUGAGUCGCCGGCGCCGGACGUGCGUCGCGCGCCUCGGGCGACUGACGUCUUCGUGUGAGUCGCCAAUUGCAGGGGAAGAUACGAAUAGUUAGGUAUAAA